rnacentral:tRNA from 1 species
GCGAUGGUCUGUGGUUCAAUGGCAAAGCAUCUGCUUGUAAUGCAGAAGUUCCCAGGUUCAAUUCCUCGCUCCUCCGCA